AGACGUGGCCGAUGCGGGUCAAACUGUAGUAUCUGUUCUUAUCAGCUUAUUAUCUGAUACGGAUUGUAUUUGGGCGCACGAUAUGAAGCUUAUUUUUGCAAGUUCGCAGAGUGCUUGAAGCCUGCUUCCCCUCCGCCGUGGGUCGGCCCGGUAUCGCACUAUCUUCGGGAUCGGCCGACGGUUU